rnacentral:rRNA from 1 species
CAUCCUGGGGCUGUAGUCGGGCCCAAGGGUUGGGCUGUUCGCCCAUUAAAGCGGCACGCGAGCUGGGUUCAGAACGUCGUGGGACAGUUCGGUCCCUAUCCGUCGCGGGCGCAGGAAAUUUGAGAGGAGCUGUCCUUAGUACGAGAGGACCGGGAUGGACACACCGCUGGUGUACCAGUUGUUCCGCCAGGAGCAUCGCUGGGUAGCUA